ACGGGGGGUGCAAGCGUUACUCGGAAUCAUUGGGCGUAAAGGGCGCGUAGGCGGCCCGGUAAGUCAGGUGUGAAAGCCCGGGGCUCAACCCCGGAAGUGCAUUUGAUACUGCCAGGCUUGAGUAUGGGAGAGGGAAGUGGAAUUCCUGGUGUAGAGGUGAAAUUCGUAGAUAUCAGGAGGAACACCGGUGGCGAAGGCGACUUCCUGGACCAAUACUGACGCUGAGGCGCGAAGGCGUGGGGAGCAAACAGGAUUAGAUACCCUGGUAGUCCACGCAGUAAACUUUGUUCACUAGGUGUAGCGGGUAUUGACCCCUGCUGUGCCGAAGCUAACGCAUUAAGUGAACCGCCUGGGAAGUACGGCCGCAAGGUUA
rnacentral:rRNA from 1 species